GAAUUAUUCGUGCUGCAAUGGAACUCAAUCUUUCACUUCAUGAUGGCAAGGAUGGAUACAAUGGACUUGAAUAUUUAAAGUAUACUAUUGGUAGCUUUGAUGAAUGCACAAUGAUUCCAUAUAUUGAACUCUUUAAUCCAUGUUUUGAUGCAAAGAUGCAAAUAACGAAUAAUAUGGAAGAAUUUGCAUAUGAAUAUACGGGACCAAAGGAAUCAAAGUUCGUAAAAACAUUUUAGAUAUGUUUUUGAGACAACGAAAGUUCCAGUAAUAGUGCUAGACGGCAGACAUCACGUUACUCAUGGAUCAAUUAUAUUUACUUUAUUAAUCACAAAUUAAAUAACUUUUUUUAUUUUCUAAGUUAUAUAUUGCUUAUAUUGUUCUAUUCUUUGACUAGUUGAUAUUAUUAAAACAAUGUUACUUUUAGUAGAA